CACGUUUCAAUCCCCUCACUAAUUCUUCAUAUUGGCGGCCAUGUUUUAUGAACUAUCAUAAAAUAACCAUUGUACAUAGACAUCAUGCAAAACCUCUGGCUUCACUUCAUCAGGCAAAUUGCUUUCUUUAAUUAUAAUUCAGGCCAAUACAAAGCUGAAUUUGUAAAUAUAUACUAAUUUACACAUAUCUUUUAACAGGAUAAAGUUCAAUGAAGAAGCAAACAUUGGCUUCGAUGCAGAAAAAAUGUUUACAUUCACUCCAAAAAGUGGAAUUUUGCCGAAAUUAGAAAAACAAGUACAAGUAAAGGUCUGCUGUCUAUGCCCACACCCUGUACACAUCAGCAGUGUGCCGGUGUUCAAGGUAUGGCUGGUGGAUACUGCUCCCCAGACACAGCCAGUUGCUGCAGUACCGCAUCAAUGUAACUAUAGACGCUUUCACCUCACAAUACAAAGUUAUUCCAGAAUCAGAAUUAAACUUUGGUCCAAUUCUGGUGGGAACAAAGAAAAUUGAAACGAUCAUUAUAGAGAACAUUGGAAAAUUUGAGUUUGUUUUUAGCGUCAAGACACUAGAGCAAGUGGAAAUGGAAACUCUAGAGCAAUGCCAAGGAAUCCAAGAUCAGAACAAGAGUGUUAAAAGUUCAAAAGGGAAGAGCACUAAAACUCAAGAAAGCACUAAGGGAAAGUCAGUGAAAAGUAAAGCAUCUAGUAAAAAAGUGGAGGAGUUCCCAAGCCUGACAGCCGGAAUAUUCUCUAUCUCCAACACAGGUGGUCGGGUG